GCCUGGGUGGCUCAGUCGGUGAAGCGUCUGACUUCAGCUCAGGUCAUGAUCUCGUGGUUUGUGAGUUCGAGCCCCACGUCAGGCU
rnacentral:tRNA from 1 species